UCUACAUAAGACUCAUCAGUGACGCUCAGAUCAAAAAAGUUAUAAAGCCAAACAAGUACAAAGUUGAAGAGCAUUGAGGACCCAAAAUUCCAAAAAGUUGUGCCAAAUACGGCUAAGGUAAUCUAUUCCUGGAAUAAGAAAAUCCUUAGUUUUUCGAAAAAAUCAAAAGUUUUGUAACAGGAAAUUUAUAAAAAUGACCAUAUAAUUGAUAUUCAUGUCAACACCGAAGUGCUGACUACUGGGCUGGUGAUACCAUCGGGGACGAAACGUCCACCAGCAGUGGCAUCGACCCAGUGGUGUAAAUAGUUAUCAAAGGUAC
rnacentral:lncRNA from 1 species